rfam:Desulfitobacterium hafniense Y51 DNA, complete genome.
CAAGUUUAUACAGCGCCUGGACCGUAAUCGAGUUACGAACUCGAAUAUCGAUUAGGGUUGACGAGGAGGAGAGUUAUCGAAAGACUCGGCGGAUGCUCUCCCGGUGUCUUGACACCGUAAGCUUAUUACAAAACCGUGAAGUAAUUUGCGGGACAAAAGGUAAGCCUCAAGGAA